AUGUCAAAAUUGCAUAUCACAGCGAACCUCUAUAUCCGGGGACGGCCUCACAACACCACAGACCAGGACCUUGUGAAGCUGUGUUAGCUAUCUGGGAAAAUAGUCUCCACAAAGGCAAUUUUGGGUAAGACAACAAACAAAUGCAAAGGUUAUGGUUUUGUCGACUUCGACAGUCCUGCAGCAGCCCAGAAAGCUGUGUCUGCCCUGAAGGCUAGUGGGGUUCAAGCUUAAAUGGCAAAGCAACAGGAACAAGACCCUACUAACCUAUAUAUUUCUAAUUUGCCACUGUCCAUGGAUGAGCAAGAACUUGAAAAUAUGCUCUGACCAUUUGGACAAGUUAUGUCUACAAGGAUACUACAUGAUUCCAGUGGUACAAGUCAUGGUGUUGGCUUUGCUAGGAUGCCAUCGACAGAUAAGUGUGAAGCCGUUAUUGGUCAUUUUAAUGGAAAACUCAUUAAGACACCACCUGGAGUUUCUGCUCCUACAGAACAUUUAUUGUGUAAGUUUGCGGUCUCAGAGGACAGAAGAAGAGGCAGAACCCAAACAAACACAUCCCUAAUGGAAGACCGUGGCAUAGAGAAGGAGAAGCAAGACUUGCUGGAAUGACAUUUACUUAUGACCCAACCACAGCUGCUAUACAGAACAGAUUUUUUCCUUCACCAUCCAGUAUUGCUACAAACCGAAUGAUCACUCAAACUUCUCUUACACCCUAUAUUGCAUCUCCUGUAUCUGCCUACCAGGGGCAAAGUCCUUCUUGGAUGCAACCUCAACCGUAUAUCCUACAGCACCCCAGGGCCGUGUUAACUCCCUCGAUGAGCACACCAUGUCACUAUAGCCAGCAUCUAUGAUCAGCCCUCUGGCCCAGCAGAUGAGUCAUCUGUCACUAGGCAGCACCAGAACAUACAUGCCUACAACAGCAGCCAUGCCAGGAGCUUAUUUGCCGCAGUAAACACAUGUGCAGACCACGACAGUUCCCGUUGAGGAAGCGAGUGGUCAGCAGCAGGUGGCUGUCGAGACGUCUAAUGACCAUUCACCAUAUACCUUUCAACCUAAUAAGUAACUGUGAGAUGUACAGAAGGGCGUUCUUACAGGAAGAAGGGUGUGAAGGCUGAAAAAUCUUGGAUUUUUCUGAUCAAUUGUGCUUUAGGAAAUUAUUGACAGUUUUGCACAGGUUCUUGAAAAUGUUAUUUAUAAUGAAAUCAACUAAAACUAUUUUUGCUGUAAGUUCUAUAAGGUGCAUAAAACCCUUAAAUUCAUCUAGUAGCUGUUCCCC